UAUUGUUCUUCAACGAGGAAUCCCUAGUAAGCACAAGUCACCAGCUUGUGCUGAUUACGUCCCUGCCCUUUGUACACACCGCCCGUCGCUACUACCGAUUGAAUGGCUUAGUGAGGCCCUCGGAUCGACUUUCUGAGACUGGCAACAGUCUUUGAUUGUUGAGAAGUUGGUCAAACUUGGUCAUUUAGAGGAAGUAAAAGUCGUAACAAGGUUUCCGUAGGUGAACCUGCGGAAGGAUCAUUACUGAUUUAGCGAACCGAGGUUUUGCGAUCACUUGUAUUUAAAACCCAACUCAUAUAAAAUAUGUAUAUUUUUGAAAAAUAAAUUAAAGAUCACUUUCAACAACGGAUCUCUUGGCUCUCGCAUCGAUGAAGAACGUAGCGAAGUGCGAUAAGUAAUGUGAAUUGCAUAAUUCCGUGAAUCAUCGAAUCUUUGAACGCAAAUUGCACUUUCUGGUAUUCCGGGAAGUAUGCCUGUUUGAGGGUCAGUUAAAUUAAAAUCGGUGUUGUUGCUACCCGUAGUGGUGUGUGAUGCAUCGGAAUUGAGUUGUUCUUUGCCCUUUGGUAUAAGUGACUUAAAAUUUGUACGAUUUUUGAACGUAUUUAAAUUAUUUACGUACGUUCAUAAUAAUCAUAUAUUAGGUGCGGUCAUUAUUAUGAUUUCGCGCCUAUAAUUUUUUCAUUAUUUGACCUCAAAUCAGGUAAGAAUACCCGCUGAACUUAAGCAUAUCAAUAAGCGGAGGAAAAGAAAAUAACAAUGAUUCCCUUAGUAACGGCGAGUGAAGGGGGAUAAGCUCAAAUUUUAAAUCUGCUAGGUUUUACCUAUCAGAGUUGUAAUUUGAAGAAGCGUUUUCCGCGUCUCGGUUGACCCAAAUCCUUUGGGAUAUGGUAUCAUGGAGGGUGAGAAUCCCGUCCGGUUGACUUUGUGACGCUUUACGAUACGUUUUCAAAGAGUCGAGUUGUUUGGGAUUGCAGCUCAAAAUGGGAGGUAAAUUUCUCCUAAGGCUAAAUAUUGGCGAGAGACCGAUAGCGAACAAGUACCGUGAGGGAAAGAUGAAAAGAACUUUGAAAAGAGAGUAAAAUAGUACGUGAAAUUGUUGAAAGGGAAACGAUUGAAGUCAGUUGUACCGACGGAAAAUCAACUCUUCGAGUGUGGACUUGUGGACGUGCGUGAGCUUUAAGGGCCUCGCUGUUUGUAACGUUCGUGCUUUUUGGGUGUACUUUUUCGUAUGGUAGGCCAACAUCAGUUUUGAUCGCUAUAAAAUGACUGGAGGAAUGUAGCUUCGAUCUCGUAUUGAAGUGUUAUAGCCUUUGGUAGAUGUGGUGAUCGGGACUGAGGAUUGCAACGAAUAUUCUUUGGGCUAUCCGUCUGAUCUCUGAAAGUCGCUUAGGUGCCGAAAGCUUGCUUACGGUCAUUUAAGUUUGACGGUCAAAAGGUUAGAACGUGAUUACAUUCGUUAAGGAUGUGGCGUAAUGGCUUUAAACGACCCGUCUUGAAACACGGACCAAGGAGUCUAACAUAUGUGCGAGUGUUU
rnacentral:rRNA from 1 species